rnacentral:rRNA from 1 species
GUCCAGACUCCUACGGGAGGCAGCAGUGGGGAAUAUUGCACAAUGGGGGAAACCCUGAUGCAGCGACGCCGCGUGAGUGAAGAAGUAUCUCGGUACGUAAAGCUCUCUCAGCAGGGAAGAUAAUGACGGUACCUGACCAAGAAGCCCCGGCUAACUACGUGCCAGCAGCCGCGGUAAUACGUAGGGGGCAAGCGUUAUCCGGAUUUACUGGGUGUAAAGGGAGCGUAGGCGGCAGCACAAGUCUGGAGUGAAAUCCCGGGGCUUAACCCCGGAACUGCUUUGGAAACUGGCGAACUAGAGUGCGGGAGGGGUAAGCGGAAUUCCUAGUGUAGCGGUGAAAUGCGUAGAUAUUAGGAGGAACACCGGUGGCGAAGGCGGCUUACUGGACCGUAACUGACGUUGAGGCUCGAAAGCGUGGGGAGCAAACAGGAUUAGAUACCCGGGUAGU